rnacentral:rRNA from 1 species
GACGGAGGGUGGCUAGCGUUGUUCGGAAUUACUGGGCGUAAAGGGCGCGUAGGCGGCCUGGUCAGUCGGGUGUGAAAGCCCGGGGCUCAACCCCGGAACGGCACCCGAGACGGCCAGGCUGGAGACCGGGAGAGGAGGGUGGAAUAGCCAGUGUAGAGGUGAAAUUCGUAGAUAUUGGCGGAACACCGGUGGCGAAAGCGGCUACUCUGGCCCGGUUCUGACGCUGAGGCGCGAAAGCGUGGGGAGCAACAGG